AGUUGUAAAAAGACUGGCGAAUAAGGACCGGGCAAGACCGGUGCCAGCCGCCGCGGUAAUCCCGGCGGUCCGAGUCGCAACCACUAUUAUUGGGUCUAAAACAUCCGUAGCUUGCUUAGUAAGUCUCUUGUGAAAUCUUAUAUCUCAAGUAUAAGGCGUGCAGGAGAUACUGCUUUGCUAGAGACUGGAGGACGUAAGGAGUACGAUCAGGGUAGUGGUUAAAUACGUUAAUCCUGAUCGGACUAACAAUAGCGAAGGCACCUUACGAUUACAGUUCUGACAGUGAGGGAUGAAGGCCAGGGGCGCAAAACGGAUUAGAUACCCGUGUAGUCCUGGCAGUAAACACUGCACACUAAACAUCGGUACCUCCUCGAGAGGUGUCGGUGCUGCACCGAAGGGGUAGAGUGUGCUACCUGGGAAGUAUAGUCGCAAGGCCGAAACUUAAAGGAAUUGGCGGGGAGACACCACAACGGGUGACGCGUGCGGUUCAAUUAGAUUCUACACCGUGAACCUCACCAGGAACGACAGCAGAAUGAAGGUCAGUCUGAAAGGGCUUACUUGACACGCUGAGAGGAAGUGCAUGGCC
rnacentral:rRNA from 1 species